rnacentral:SRP_RNA from 1 species
UCGUGCUAGACGGGGAAGUAGCGGUGCCCUGUUGCCCGCAAUCCGCUUAGCGGGGUCGAAGUCCACGUCUGAGGUUUAUCUGUUUCAGGUUUGUGCCCAGGGAGUGUGCAGCGUUGAUCGUCAGGUCCUGCGCAAUAGGUCAUUGCCAAACUCCGUCAGGACCGGAAGGUAGCAGCGGUAGGCGACCCGACCUGUGUGCCGCAGGGGUACCUGGCAGGAGCCAGCGCUCGUUGGACGCCCUGAUAUAGAGGAUCGAAGCGUGGUGCACGA